AGUUUCAUGUACCUUCCUGGAGGCUCUAUAAGCGCUCCUGUAACCCCUCCUUUAAGCUCCCCAACAGCUCGUGGAAUGAACCAAAUCAACAACUCUUUCUUUGUAUCCUCAACACCGCCUAGUCCCACUAGGCAGCAGACCGUACCUGGCUCUGAAUGGUUCGCUGGGAUUCAACUCGCGCAAAGCGUUCCUGCUUCACCAACGUUUAGUCUCGUCUCACGAAACCCUUUUGGGUUUAGAGAAGAUCAACUAGCGUCUGCUGGUGGAGGUGGUGGGUCGAGAAUGUGGACGCCAGGUCAAAGCGGGACUUGCUCACCGGCUAUUCCUCAGACAGGAGAUGUUCCAAUGUCUGAAGCUGUGGCUCCUCCAGAGUUUGCGUUUGGGAGUAACGCAAACGGGUUAGUUAAAGCUUGGGAAGGAGAGAGGAUACAUGAAGAGAGUGGUUCUGAUGAUCUCGAGCUCACUCUUGGAAACUCAAGCACAAGGUGUAAUUGAAAACCCGGUUCCAACCAAACCAUUUCUCAAUAUGUCGCUUCAAUAUUUAUUUUCCCAUGUAAGGCCUCAAAGUGAAAUAUUCGUUUAUUUGUAACCAUGCUAACCAACCUUAAAACCCGGUUUGGUAUGGUUCUAAUCAGAUUAUGUUCUUUACAUUUUCGGGUUUAAUGUCAACAGUUUACAGACUCUCAGAGAACGAAUCAAAUUACAUUAUUGUUUCAAAUUUAUUAUUAUUAGUCAACAAUGACCGCUUCAACACGACAAAAUAGAGUUCUUGCAGGUGACAGAGGAGCCUCUGUUUAUAACGGCUACAGAUUCCAUUUUCCGACAUAUAUGGACUUGCUUUUCUUCUGCUUGAUCCUCUUUAAGAGUUACUUUUUGUAAAUGUGUACAUAUGAGACAAUAUAUGAGUAAAAAUACUAUCAUAUGGUAGAAAAAACAAUGGCAUCAUGCUAUCCAUUACUACGCAUCAUACUAUUUGGAUAUUUUAAAACAUUAUAUGAUAAAAACAUGUGAACUAUCAGAUACACUAUGAAUGUUAAUACAACUAAUGAAUUAGUAGAAUCUAACAUUAAUUUUUGAAAAAAUGAGUUAAAAAUCUCAAUAACCAUAUAAAAUUACUUAAAAAUAAUCAGCUGAUCAGUUCGAUAGCCAUAAUUUUUUUUUACCUAAGAGAUUUGACAAUUCUAAUUUGGAAAUUGCAAUAUUGACUUAAGAUCAGCUUCCUAUUUUAAUAAAUUUAGUUCAAUCAGGAAGACAAAAAUAUUUAAAAUAAUUAUUUGUGUAUUAAAAUAUCAAAAACUAUCCUAUAAAAUAGUUUUAGGCUUCUUAAAUAGAAAAUAUUACCGUAAUUUAUGAAUACAACGAUGAAAAAUAGAAAACCUAGAAAAAACCCUAAUUUUUGAAAACCAAUAUAUAAUAUUAAAGUUCUAGCAUAAGACCAUUUCCAUUUUUAGAUAACUUGACACCUAAUUUUAGAGUCUCGCAUAAUCGUUUGAGAGUCUUUCUAACAAAAGAUUCUUCUUAUUUUUUUCUUAUUUUUUUUUUGGUUUUCAUUUUUUAUUCUUAAUGAAUUGAAACGUAAUCAGAAGCUUGAUGAGAUAUUAUUCCCACUAGUACAAACGUGAUUUUUUGGAGGUAGAAGUGUUCUUCCAAAAAUGUAUCCUCAACACCGCCUAGUCCCACUAGGCAGCAGACCGUACCUGACUCUGAAUGGUUCGCUGGGAUUCAACUCGCGCAAAGCGUUCCAGCUUCACCG
rnacentral:lncRNA from 1 species